rnacentral:rRNA from 1 species
GACGAACGCUGGCGGCGUGCUUAACACAUGCAAGUCGAACGGAAAGGCCCUGCUUUUGUGGGGUGCUCGAGUGGCGAACGGGUGAGUAACACGUGAGUAACCUGCCCUUGACUUUGGGAUAACUUCAGGAAACUGGGGCUAAUACCGGAUAGGAGCUCCUGCUGCAUGGUGGGGGUUGGAAAGUUUCGGCGGUUGGGGAUGGACUCGCGGCUUAUCAGCUUGUUGGUGGGGUAGUGGCUUACCAAGGCUUUGACGGGUAGCCGGCCUGAGAGGGUGACCGGACACAUUGGGACUGGGAUACGGCCCAGACUCCUACGGGAGGCAGCAGUGGGGAAUAUUGCACAGUGGGCGGAAGCCUGAUGCAGCAACGCCGCGUGCGGGAUGACGGCAUUCGGGUUGUAAACCGCUUUCGCCUGUGACGAAGCGUGAGUGACGGUAAUGGGUAAAGAAGCACCGGCUAACUACGUG